rnacentral:rRNA from 1 species
GAUGAACGCUGGCGGCGUGCCUAAUACAUGCAAGUCGAGCGAACAGACGAGGAGCUUGCUCCUCUGACGUUAGCGGCGGACGGGUGAGUAACACGUGGAUAACCUACCUAUAAGACUGGGAUAACUUCGGGAAACCGGAGCUAAUACCGGAUAAUAUAUUGAACCGCAUGGUUCAAUAGUGAAAGACGGUUUUGCUGUCACUUCUAGAUGGAUCCGCGCCGCAUUAGCUAGUUGGUAAGGUAACGGCUUACCAAGGCAACGAUGCGUAGCCGACCUGAGAGGGUGAUCGGCCACACUGGAACGGAGACACGGUCAAGACUCCUACGGGAGGCAGCAGUAGGGAAUCUUCCGCAAUGGGCGAAAGCCUGACGGAGCAACGCCGCGUGAGUGAUGAAGGUCUUCGGAUCGUAAAACUCUGUUAUUAGGGAAGAACAAAUGUGUAAGUAACUAUGCACGUCUUGACGGUACCUAAUCAGAAAGCCACGGCUAACUACGUG